rnacentral:rRNA from 1 species
CCCUAAAUCUUGAUACUUAAUCUUACCAAAGUAUCCGCCCGAGAACUACGAGCACAAACGCUUAAAACUCUAAGGACUUGGCGGUGCCCCAAACCCACCUAGAGGAGCCUGUUCUAUAAUCGAUAACCCACGCUACACCCAACCGCCUCUAGCCUAAAGCAGCCUACAUACCGCCGUCGCCAGCCCACCUCNNCUGAAAGAACUACAGUGGGUACAAUAGCCACUCGCUAAUAAGACAGGUCAAGGUAUAGCUUAUGGGGCGGAAGAAAUGGGCUACAUUUUCUAAUAGUAGAAGACACGGAAAGAGAUGCGAAAUCAUCACUGGAAGGCGGAUUUAGCAGUAAAGAAAGACAAUAAAGCUUUC